rnacentral:rRNA from 1 species
GGAUUAGAUACCCUGGUAGUCCUAGCUGUAAACGAUGGAUACUAGACGUAGGAACUGGAUUGACGGUUUCUGUGUCGUAGCUAACGCGUUAAGUAUCCCACCUGGGGAGUACGAUCGCAAGAUUGAAACUCAAAGGAAUUGACGGGGGCCCGCACAAGCGGUGGAGCAUGUGGUUUAAUUCGAUGAUACGCGAGGAACCUUACCAGGGCUUAAAUGUAACGGGACAGAUCUAGAGAUAGAUCCUUCUUCGGACUCAUUACAAGGUGCUGCAUGGUUGUCGUCAGCUCGUGCCG